AAGACUAUACUUUCAGGGAUCAUUUCUAUAGUUUGUUACAUCUUCCUAUGAUACUAUGUGGCCAUUGGA
rnacentral:snoRNA from 1 species